rnacentral:snoRNA from 1 species
AUUCCAUGGUGAGGACAAUCUGAUUUGUAUUCUUGAAAACGCUCCCAUGCUUCUUGAAUGGUUUUUGUCUUCUGCUGUU